rnacentral:rRNA from 1 species
CUUACCAUGCAGUCGAACGAUGAACUGGAGCUUGCUCCAGGGAUUAGUGGCGAACGGGUGAGUAACACGUGAGUAACCUGCCCUUGACUCUGGGAUAAGCGCUAGAAAUGGCGUCUAAUACCGGAUACGAGCUUCAGCCGCAUGGCUAGGAGUUGGAAAGAAUUUUGGUCAAGGAUGGACUCGCGGCCUAUCAGCUAGUUGGUGAGGUAAUGGCUCACCAAGGCGACGACGGGUAGCCGGCCUGAGAGGGUGACCGGCCACACUGGGACUGAGACACGGCCCAGACCCCUACGGGAGACAGCAGUGGGGAAUAUUGCACAAUGGGCGAAAGCCUGAUGCAGCAACGCCGCGUGAGGGAUGACGGCCUUCGGGUUAUAAACCUCUUUUAGUAGGGAAGAAGCGAAAGUGACGGUACCUGCAGAAAAAGCACCGGCUAACUACGUGCCAGCAGCCGCGGUAAUACGUAGGGUGCAAGCGUUGUCCGGAAUUAUUGGGCGUAAAGAGCUCGUAGGCGGUUUGUCGCGUCUGCUGUGAAAUCUGGGGGCUCAACCCCCAGCCUGCAGUGGGUACGGGCAGACUAGAGUGCGGUAGGGGAGAUUGGAAUUCCUGGUGUAGCGGUGGAAUGCGCAGAUAUCAGGAGGAACACCGAUGGCGAAGGCAGAUCUCUGGGCCGUAACUGACGCUGAGGAGCGAAAGCAUGGGGAGCGAACAGGAUUAGAUACCCUGGUAGUCCAUGCCGUAAACGUUGGGAACUAGAUGUGGGGGCCAUUCCACGGUCUCCGUGUCGCAGCUAACGCAUUAAGUUCCCCGCCUGGGGAGUACGGCCGCAAGGCUAAAACUCAAAGGAAUUGACGGGGGCCCGCACAAGCGGCGGAGCAUGCGGAUUAAUUCGAUGCAACGCGAAGAACCUUACCAAGGCUUGACAUAUACCGGAAACGUCCAGAGAUGGUCGCCCCGCAAGGUCGGUAUACAGGUGGUGCAUGGUUGUCGUCAGCUCGUGUCGUGAGAUGUUGGGUUAAGUCCCGCAACGAGCGCAACCCUCGUUCUAUGUUGCCAGCACGUUAUGGUGGGAACUCAUAGGAGACUGCCGGGGUCAACUCGGAGGAAGGUGGGGAUGACGUCAAAUCAUCAUGCCCCUUAUGUCUUGGGCUUCACGCAUGCUACAAUGGCCGGUACAAAGGGCUGCGAUACCGUAAGGUGGAGCGAAUCCCAAAAAGCCGGUCUCAGUUCGGAUUGAGGUCUGCAACUCGACCUCAUGAAGUCGGAGUCGCUAGUAAUCGCAGAUCAGCAACGCUGCGGUGAAU